UUACCAGCUUAAAUGGACAGAAAUUCUUCGGACCAAGGUGCUGCAUGGUUGUCGUCAGCUCGUGCCGUGAGGUGUCAGGUUAAGUCCUAUAACGAGCGCAACCCUGUUUUAGUUGCCAGCGUACGGGACUCUAGAAGACUGCCGGUGCAACCGGAGGAAGGUGGGGAUGACGUCAAAUCAUCACGGCCCUUACGCUGGGCUACACACGUGCUACAAUGGGGUACAAGAGGCAAUGCAAAUGGAGCAAUCUAUAAACCUUCUCAGUUCGGAUCGGAGUCUGCAACUCGACUCCGUGAAGCUGGAUUCGCUAGUAAUCGCAAUCAGCAUGUGCGGUGAAUACGUUCCCGGGCCUUGUACACACCGCCCGUCAAGCCAUGGAAGCUGGGGACCGAA
rnacentral:rRNA from 1 species